UUUGUGUUUCCUAUAGAUAGGGGAUAUAACAACAGCUCCUUUAAGUUAUGUUUUCAGAUUAUUUUUGAUGCCACAAUUUCCACUCACGUUGCUACUUUUGUGUUUUCUUCUUGCUUAGUACUCUUGAUACAUUUUGUUCAAAGUUUGACAAUGGUUCCUGCUACUAGGUGCGAGGAUACAAGUGAGUUGGCUUCCAUUCGGACGUCUACGAUGAGACGAUGGACAGGGUGAAAGGCCUCGGCGUUGAUACCGAUAUCACUGGUGGUGGCAGAAUACAGCACGACCCCAGUGCCAACGUCAUCAAAGUGUACAGCUACUCACAGGGGUUUGGGAAGGCAGACCACAGCAACACUGUAGAAAUUCUGAAGACUGCAUAUCCUGUUUACAACAUUACUUGGAGUGAUGAAGGAUACUGAUCUGCUCAGGUUGUAAUAUUUGACAUUGCAGCUUUUGAAAAUGGAGCAGGAUGUUGUGCCCUCUUUCCUAU